AUACACGAGUGGCGCACGGGUGCGUAACGCAUAUGCAACCUACCUUUAACUGGGAAAUAGCCCCGAGAAAUCGGGAUUAAUGUCCCAUAUUAUUCUUUGAAUACCUAUUCGAGGAAUGAAAGCUCCGGCGGUUAUUGAUGGGCAUGCGUGACAUUAGCUAGUUGGUGAGGUAACGGCUCACCAAGGCUACGAUGUCUAAGGGUCCUGAGAGGGUUAACCCCCACACUGGUACUGAGACACGGACCAGACUCCUACGGGAGGCAGCAGUAAGGAAUAUUGGGCAAUGGACGCAAGUCUGACCCAGCCAUGCCGCGUGAAGGAUGAAUGUCCUAUGGAUUGUAAACUUCUUUUAUGCAGGAAAAAUAUCCCGGUCGUGAACCGGGACUGAUGGUACUGUAUGAAUAAGCAUCGGCUAACUCCGUGCCAGCAGCCGCGGUAAUACGGAGGAUGCGAGCGUUAUCCGGAUUCAUUGGGUUUAAAGGGUGCGCAGGCGGAAUGAUAAGUCAGUGGUGAAAUCUCCCGGCUCAACCGGGAAACUGCCAUUGAUACUGCCAUUCUUGAGUACAGUUGAAGUGGGCGGAAUGUGUCAUGUAGCGGUGAAAUGCUUAGAUAUGACACAGAACACCGAUAGCGAAGGCAGCUCACUAAGCUGUACUGACGC
rnacentral:rRNA from 1 species